CGACGAAUCUUCCGCAAUGGGCGCAAGCCUGACGGAGCGACGCCGCGUGUGGGAUGAAGCGUCUUCGACGUGUAAACCACUGUCAGGGAACAGAAACACUGAUUGUUCCCAAAGGAAGGGGCGACUAACUCUGUGCCAGCAGUCGCGGUAAGACAGAGGCCCCGAGCGUUAAUCGGAAUUACUGGGCUUAAAGGGUGCGUAGGUGGACCAGCAAGUGCUUUGUGAAAGCCCCCGGCUCAACCGGGGAACAGCGGGGCAUACUGCUGGUCUUGAGGCAGGUAAGGGCCGACGGAACUGAAGGUGGAGCGGUGAAAUGCGUAGAUAUCUUCAGGAACGCCGAUGGUGAAGACGGUCGGCUGGGCCUGUCCUGACACUGAGGCACGAAAGCGUGGGGAGCAAACAGGAUUAGAUACCCCCGUAGUCC
rnacentral:rRNA from 1 species